AGAUGCAGCUUGCAAGGGAAACAAGACAAGACACAGAAGAGGGAAUCAGAAACACUUCGUGCUCAGUACAUAAAUUCUAAGUAAGUGAGGGUAACAAUUGGAACUUGGAAUGUUGCUGGGAGAACUCCAAUAUUGCGGCAUUAAUGUUUUCUUUUCUCACCAUGUUUUACCUUGCUUGCUGUGUUCUCAGUUUGUUGGCGAAACUUAAUAAGGCGGAUAGAGCCCUAUGCUUCACCAGUGGAAUGGCUGCUCUGAGUGCUGUUUUUCAUCUUGUUCAAGCUGGUGAAAAAAUUGUUGCUGGAGAUGAUCUAUACGGUGGAACAGACAGGUUGCUGUCCUGAGUAAUUCCAAAGAAUGGCAUUGUGGUCAAGUUAGUCUAACUUACGGGUAAAUACAACUGAUCUUAAUGAGGUUGCAUCUGCUAUUGGACCCCGUACUAAGCUUGUGUGGCUUGAGAGCCCAACCAAUCCUCGACUACAAACUACUGAUAUUCAAAAAAUAUCUGAGAUGGCUCAUGCCCACGGUGCUCUGUUGUUGGUGGAUAAUAGUAUAAUAUCACCUGUGUUGUCUCGGCCAUUAGAACUUGGAGUAGAUAUUGUUAUGCACUCAGCUACCAAAUUUAUUUCUGGACAUAGUGAUAUUAUGGCUGGUGUGCUUGCUGUGAAAGAUGAAAGGACAAGGUUAUACAAUUUCAGCAGUAACACAUCGCUAUCAGCUUCAGAAGGGAAAUUACGAACCAAGCGAGAAACGGCUUGAUGUUUUGUCCACUGGAAGAUACUUGGUAAAUCUAUAUUUGGAAAAUUUGUUAGAACAAUCUUGAUUAGUGCAUAUUUUCAAGUUCUAUUUUAUUAGUUUCAAUAUGUAAUUCCUUGGCUGUGUUAUAAUCAAUAUUAACAAACAAAUUUGUC